AACGAACGCUGGCGGCAUGCCUAACACAUGCAAGUCGAACGAGACCUUCGGGUCUAGUGGCGUACGGGUGCGUAACGCGUGGGAACCUGCCCUUAGGUUCGGAAUAACUCCCCGGAAGGGGUGCUAAUACCGGAUAAUGUCUUCGGACCAAAGGUUUAUCGCCUUUGGAUGGGCUCGGGUUGGCUUAGCUGGUUGGUAGGGUAAAAGCCUACCAAGGCGACGUUGCAUAGCUGGUCUGAGAGGAUGGUCAGCCACACUGGGACUGAGACACGGCCCAGACUCCUACGGGAGGCAGCAGUGGGGAAUAUUGGACAAUGGGCGAAAGCCUGAUCCAGCAAUGCCGCGUGAGUGAUGAAGGCCUUAGGGUUGUAAAGCUCUUUUACCCGGGAUGAUAAUGACAGUACCGGGAGAAUAAGCUCCGGCUAACUCCGUG
rnacentral:rRNA from 1 species